AGCAUGUUGGUGGACCAUCCAUCCUGCAUCCAAACAGAGGUCAGAGGGUGAGAAGGUUAGGGUAGGAGACGACCUGAUCCUGGUUAGCGUGUCGUCAGAGAGAUACCUACAUCUGUCAUACGCCAGCGGGGACCUGAUGGUAAAUGCCUCCUUUAUGCAGACCUUAUGGAACAUGAAUCCUGUCUGUUCAGGCUGUGAGCUGGCAGAGGGGUACUUAACUGGAGGUCAUGUCUUAAGACUGUUUCAUGGUCACAUGGAUGAGUGUCUGGCCAUCUCAACAACUGAUCAGGGAGAAGAGCAG